CAAACCCGUCCCGCCAACCUGUCC
rnacentral:siRNA from 1 species